rnacentral:lncRNA from 1 species
AAAUGACUUUUCAUUUGCACUUCAUAUUCUUUCUUUUCUUUUCCCAUCUACAUUUGCUAAAACCCAACGAUAGCUACAACGCACACAAACUCAAUAAUUUCUAUAUUUUUAUUAAAUGAUUUAUUCAAUAUAUAUUAAUACUUAAUUAUAAUAAUUAAGAUAAAUUAUGAGCUCAUAACAAAUUUAAAAUUCGUAAACUUUAUAUCCUAAAUUCCUAAUCCCGUCUAGUAGCAUAUAAUAUAUAAUGUAAUGAAAUGGAAAUUAAUAUUAUAUAGGAAGCUUUAUUAAUACCACAACUUUAGUUAAAUAUGUGUUAAGUUUAGUUAUAUUGUAUUGUUUGCUAAGAUUUUUUACAAAGCACUCAAGGUGCUUGACAAAAUGACUGACAGGAAAAAACACACCAAAAAGAGUACUUGUGUUCCUUUUUUUCCCCACCCAGUGUACCGAGCCCAGGUUGGAGUUUCGAUUAAAUUUGAAUCACGCUCUGUAUGGUUCAUUUGGGGUGGCGCUCCCAACAUGAUUUUCUCCAAACACAGCGCGAACCUGAGACCUUAGGUUAAGGUGAAACACUUUCACUAUUGUACCGCAACCCGUGUUGGUAGUACUUGUGCUCCUGAAUUUUUUUAUGACAAGGGAAAUCCGCAGCCGCUAUUCCUUCGGUGUGCACAGGGUAAAACCCUCACUUCCUAUGCAAUAACUCGCAAACCACAGAGGAGAAGUAACCCGCAGUGGGCAAGCCCGGUGCGACGAGUUCCACCCAGAAGGCAAACUUCGUACUUUCGCUGGCAAGGGGUUUCGAACUUGAGACCUCCAAUAUGGAAGUCUCAAGCCUAAACCGCUGGGCCACCCUGAAGGGUACUUGUGCUCCUGAUUUGAUAUGAAGAAAUGCAGUAAAUGGACAUGGAAUUGUGAAAAUGGAUGAAGUCUUGGAGAAGAUGGUGUCUAGGGAGUUAAAAGAUUGAUUCCCAGAUUGCCAAAUUGAUUGCAGGACAACCAUAACUCCGGAUACUCGAGCUCAAGCACCCUCCCCUGCUGCUUUUCAGAGGCCGAGCUAGAUGGAAGGUAUGAGUUCGGUAAAACCUAGUAAGUUUGGUCUAUACUCUUAAGAAAUUCACUAAAAAUAUGCGUAUAAUAAACUUCAAAUCAUGGAUCCGCUUUGAGGAGCAGGCUCUUCGAUCUUCACAAUGGUCAUUAUUUAAAAACCAAAAGUUUGUUAAUGACAAUUAUGUUUACCAAAGAAAAAUAUCAUCCUCCUCAUUGUAAAAAAACAACAACAAAAAGAACACUCCCAAAGUUCUGAGUUUCCAGCCUGUGCAUCAGAGCAGGACCAUUACUAUUUCUGUGGUCCUUAGUACUGUUAAUUUGUAG